rnacentral:rRNA from 1 species
UACGUAGGGUGCGAGCGUUAAUCGGAUUUACUGGGCGUAAAGCGUGCGCAGGCGGCCCGUUAAGACAGGUGUGAAAUCCCUGGGCUCAACCUAGGAAUUGCGCUUGUGACUGGCGGGCUCGAGUACGGUAGAGGGGGGUGGAAUUCCUGGUGUAGCAGUGAAAUGCGUAGAGAUCAGGAGGAACACCGAUGGCGAAGGCAGCCCCCUGGGCCUGUACUGACGCUCAUGCUCGAAAGCGUGGGUAGCAAACAGG